rnacentral:rRNA from 1 species
UUUCGUGCCAGCCCCCGCGGUGAUACGAUUAACCCGAGUUAACAGAAGAACGGCGUAAAGUGUGUUUAAGCAUUAAAGCAUUAAAAUAAGGUUAAAAAUCAAUUGAGCUGUAAUACGCUAAGGUUGAUAUAAAAAUACGCAACUUACGUGACUUUACCAGCUGCUGAAGACACUAAAGCUAAGGUACAAACUGGGAUUAGAGACCCCACUAUGCUUAGCCGUAAACCGAGGUAGUUGAAUAACAAAACUAUUCGCCAGAGAACUACAAGCUACUGCUUAAAACUCAAAGGACUUGGCGGUGCCCUAAACCCUCCUAGAGGAGCCUGUUCUAUAAUCGAUAAACCCCGAUACACCCCACCUUUUCUAGCUAUCAGCCUAUAUACCGCCAUCGUCAGCUCACCCCAAUAGGGUAUCAAAGUGAGCAAAAUCAUUAAACCAUAAAAACGUUAGGUCAAGGUGUAGCAUAUGAAAAGGGAAGCAAUGGGCUACAUUUUCUAAACUAGAAUAUCACGGAUUGUCUAUUGAAAUAAAGACAUGAAGGAGGAUUUAGUAGUAAAUUAAGAAUAGAGAGCUUAAUUGAAAUAGGCAAUGGGGUGCGUACACACCGCCCGUCACCCUCCUCGAUAAGAUAAAACCCUAUACCUAAUAAGAAUACGCAAAAAAGAGGAGAAAAGUCGUAACAUGGUAAGUGUACUGGAAGGUGCACUUGGAUAAUC